ACUCCUACGGGAGGCAGCAGUGGGGAAUAUUGCACAAUGGGCGCAAGCCUGAUGCAGCCAUGCCGCGUGUAUGAAGAAGGCCUUCGGGUUGUAAAGUACUUUCUAGCAGUGAGGAAGGACAGGUACGUUAAUAGCGUGCUUGUUUGACGUUAGCUGCAGAAGAAGCACCGGCUAACUCCGUGCCAGCAGCCGCGGUAAUACGGAGGUGCGAGCGUUAAUCGGAAUUACUGGGCGUAAAGCGACAUGCAGGUGGUUUGUUAAGUCAGAUGUGAAAGCCCGGGGGCUCAACCUCGGAAUUGCAUUUGAAACUGGCAGACUAGAGUACUGUAGAGGGGGGUAGAAUUUCAGGUGUAAGCGGUGAAAUGCGUAGAGAUACUGAA
rnacentral:rRNA from 1 species